CACGCGGCGAGAGCGUUGGGCGCGCAUCCCCCUCGCACAGGUGGGGACGGAGACCACUGGCCGACUGACUGAACCGGCGCCUUGGAAUGCAUUUCCCCAGCCCAUACGGAGUGGAGGCAAACUCCCGUGGGUACCUGGAUGUGGCUCGGUUACAGUCAAAAGACCCCGGGCUUGGUUCUUGCCUGUGUCACACAAGCUGAGAGAUCUGAGCUGUCGCCCAACCCCAGUGGGCCUCAGUGUCUGCAUCUGUAUAUGGGGAUAAGGCCUUAACAGUUCUCCCGAAUUAGUGAAAGGCCCAGCACAAAGCUUGCACACGUGGAGAAUCAAGUUCUGCAUCAUUUUUCUCAACAGGCAGAGAAUAUACAGAAGUAAACACUGAAACCAAGAAGUUACUUUACUCUCACUAAGGUGGAAGACUAGACCAGAAUUUCUCAAAACAUGGACCAAGGAAACUCUGCAUCAGUAUCACCUGGAGUGCAUGAUAAAGUCACGGGCAGAGAGGAAUUUGCAAACUGAGAACCAGAGGCAUGAAAGGAAGAAACAUCAAAUUUACAUUAACAUAAAGGAGAAAAGAAGUUCUGGUUUUGUGGCAAACAGAUGGUUACAAUGCUGACACUUGAGUUUAACAACUGUGUGGGUUAAAGCAACUUGCUGGGAUUGUUCAGCAAGAGGCUGGAGACUAGCUGCAGCAGAGCCACUGGUGGAGCUGGGGGAAACGGCAGAGGUUUUACCUCCUCCUGCAGGCAGCAGAAAUGGCAUGUGCAAAGGCACGGAAAUAAAACUGAACAGAAGAUAACUUUGAGUAAACUGCAAAUAGUUCUAGGAGCAGAGAUUACAAAAGGCAGAAAGAAUGAGUGAUGACACUGAAGAGGGAAACAAAGGCCUAAACAUGAUAAAUGGAUGUCACACUAAAAAAUGCAUGCUUUAUCAAACAAGAGGAGACAAGGUCUUUAAGAGGAGUAAUAUCAUCAGAUCUACAGAGUA